GUUGCUGCGAUCGUUUCGCUACAGGGCCGUCCUAUUUAAAUGCACGAAGGUCUAGCAGAGAGAAAAAUAUCUUUCUUCUUUUGGCUGAAUCCUAAAGUAAGAAUUAUUGUCCUUCCAGCAGCCGGAUAUUCGGCUAAAAAGGCUUCUUGACACGGCUGAACCUGGGCAGGUAGAAAGCAGUUGCAAACUUUCCUUUGAGAUGGACCCCCAUACGUUUCGCCUUUCCCGAGUCCCAGCAGAGGAACCAGUUGGUUUGGCCCAGUGGAUCAGCCCAGUGCCUUCUCUAGAAGAAGAUGCAUAUGGUCAGCCUCCAUGAAAGCUUCAGUAGAAGUGACUACUCUGCUCAUGGGCAUUGAGGAGUACAACAGACAGAUGUUUCAUUCCAAUGCGCUUCCUUUGGGGGAACGUCCUUGGCAGAUUCUGUUCCAGCUGCGGGAGGCCGCUCAGAGAUGGCUGAGACCACAGGACCGCACCAAAGGACAGAUUGUGGACGUGGUCAUCUUGGAGCAGUUUCUGCAUGUGCUUCCUUUGGGAAUGCAGGCUUGGGUGAGAGCCAGGAAGCCAAGUACCAGCCAGGAGGCAGCUCAGCUGGCUGAAGCUUACCUGGAGCAACAGUGCCCUGUGUCAUUUGAGGAAGUGGCCAUACUUCACCCGAG